rnacentral:rRNA from 1 species
GGGGUUGUGGGAGUUCUCUUGAUCGGUCUGCCGGCCGGUCGGUGAGUCAGAAACCGUUGAUGUAGGCGAAGGACAUGCGAAAGGUCCGGCGUAGAGGGUAAGACCCCCGUAGCUGAAACAUUGACGGCUCGCUUGAGAAUCACCCAAGUAGCACGGGGCCCGUGAAAUCCCGUGUGAAUCUGGCGGGACCACCCGCUAAGCCUAAAUAUUCCCUGGUGACCGAUAGCGGAUAGUACCGUGAGGGAAUGGUGAAAAGUACCGCGGGAGCGGAGUGAAAUAGUACCUGAAACCGUGUGCCUACAAGCCGUGGGAGCGUCGC